AGAGUUUGAUCCUGGCUCAGGAUGAACGCUGGCUACAGGCUUAACACAUGCAAGUCGAGGGGAAACGACGGGGAAGCUUGCUUCCCCGGGCGUCGACCGGCGCACGGGUGAGUAACGCGUAUCCAACCUGCCUCUGACUGAGGGAUAACCCGUCGAAAGUCGGCCUAAUACCUCAUGGCAUCGUCUGCGGGCAUCCAACGACGAUUAAAGAUUUCAUCGGUCAGAGAUGGGGAUGCGUCUGAUUAGCUUGUUGGCGGGGUAACGGCCCACCAAGGCAACGAUCAGUAGGGGUUCUGAGAGGAAGGUCCCCCACAUUGGAACUGAGACACGGUCCAAACUCCUACGGGAGGCAGCAGUGAGGAAUAUUGGUCAAUGGGCGAGAGCCUGAACCAGCCAAGUAGCGUGCAGGAUGACGGCCCUAUGGGUUGUAAACUGCUUUUAUGCGGGGAUAAAGUGAGGGACGUGUCCUUCAUUGCAGGUACCGCAUGAAUAAGGACCGGCUAAUUCCGUGCCAGCAGCCGCGGUAAUACGGAAGGUCCGGGCGUUAUCCGGAUUUAUUGGGUUUAAAGGGAGCGUAGGCCGUGGAUUAAGCGUGUUGUGAAAUGCAGGUGCUCAACGUCUGCACUGCAGCGCGAACUGGUCCACUUGAGUGUGCGCAACGCAGGCGGAAUUCGUCGUGUAGCGGUGAAAUGCUUAGAUAUGACGAAGAACUCCGAUUGCGAAGGCAGCUUGCGGGAGCACAACUGACGCUGAAGCUCGAAAGUGCGGGUAUCGAACAGGAUUAGAUACCCUGGUAGUCCGCACGGUAAACGAUGGAUGCCCGUUGUCAGGCUGUUUCAGUCUGGUGACCAAGCGAAAGCAUUAAGCAUCCCACCUGGGGAGUACGCCGGCAACGGUGAAACUCAAAGGAAUUGACGGGGGCCCGCACAAGCGGAGGAACAUGUGGUUUAA
rnacentral:rRNA from 1 species